rnacentral:lncRNA from 1 species
GAAGCGCCCACCCACAGCACCUGCUCUGCUGCCCCGGCUCCUGGCUGCAGCUGCACCAGCAACAUGCAGAGGCCCCCUGACUCCAGGACAGCGAGCCGUGUAGACUGUCCGAGAAGCAGGGAGUCAAGGGGCAGGACCCACACAGUUUCCUUUGCUCGCCCGUGUGGUGGCGUUUUGGACCCUGGGGCUCUGAUGCCGAAGGGGAGGUGAAAGCUUGGCCCUGCCCAGGGCACCUUGGGCCUGCCCGUCGGAUGCACCUGCCGGGAGGGGUGAUGACUCAGGGGAAUUCAAGGCUGCCGCAGACACCAGCCAGGCGGCCAGGCCUCCCUUGGCUGCCCCUCAUCCGAGGAGCGAGGAGCGGCUGGCAUCCCCGCACUGCCUGCCUCCUCCUCCACGUGGGCCCAGCCCUGAGCCCACUCCGCCUUUGUCACUACGCUGUUGUGUGACCACCAGAAAAGCACUGCCUCGGUUUCCCUGGUUAGAGCAUGGCGACAGUCUCGCCGGACUCCCAGAGGGGGAUAGGGACAAAAAGAGGUCCUCGGUGGGGAUGCCCACGGCCGUCCACGCAGGGGAAAGCCAACACCCCCCUCCCAGCCCCACCCCCAACGUCCUGGCUCCGCCCCUUCCAGGCACUGAGGCCCAAAUGCUAUUACUCCUAGCCAGGAUCUGAUAGGCGAGAGUGGGAGAAGUCGGCACAGGGGACCCGCUGGCUCGGGGCACUUGCAGUGCUGUCAGCUGGACCUUCGCCCUCGCCCCUGUGGCAGCGGGCGGUGGCUCUGGGAGCCCGGCUGUGCCUGGUCCUCGAUGGGCCGCUCCCCGUCUCUUGCGCUAGACUCUUAGGUGCACCCCUCUCCCAGCCAGGGCCAACCUAGGUCAGGGCCUCCUCCCCACUCCUGCG